UGUAAUUUGUUGUUUGCUUCAUUAUUCCAAGCGGACUGCCAUUUUUUCCUUAGUUUAUAAUGUACUAACUUCAUGCAGUCGUUAGGAGGUAUCUUUACUUUUGUGAUUUCUUUGUGCCGGGCUUGUGCCGCGCAUGCAUCUGCUCUCUCAUUGCCACUAAUUCCGACGUGGCUCGGAACCCAGCACAAUUUAAUGUUCAGUCCUUGUGUGGUGGCUUUUAAUAAAUUAUGUAUAAUGUCUCCUAUUAAUGGUGUGACUGCAUUUCUGGCAUGAAGAGCUGUGAGUGCACUUAAGGAGUCUGUGUAUAUGAUACUAUUUGCGAGGUUCUCCUUUAUUAUUUUGUCUAUGGCUAUAGAAAUGGCAUAACAUUCAGCAGUGAAAAUGGAUGUGCACUGCGGAAGUCUUAUUGUUUCUUCCCAGUUCCCCUGUACAACUGCGCUACCAACAUGUUCAUUUGUUUUCGAACCAUCAGUAUAAAAGUUUGUGAAGCUGCUGUAUUUUUCUUCUAGUGCAAGGAAUUCCUGAAUUAUGUGUUGUGGCGGCGUUUGUGCUUUACGAAACUGUGUUAAAGUGAGAUCGCAAACUGUGGGAAAGGUGAACCAUGGGGGUAGUGGAUUUUGUCUGUGGGUAAUGCCAGGUAAUGUGUCCGCUAUGCCAAGAUUCCGACACAUCUCUUCAAAUCGCAUGAGCAGUGGUCUUGUAGUUUGUGGUUUGUUGUUAAAAAGUACUCGGGAAAGGCAUUUUGUUACAAGUGGGUAGCAAAUGUGUUUUGGUAGAGAUUGUAUCUUGAGAAUAUAUGCACAGGUUAGAGCGGCUCUUCUAGUUUCUAGUGGGGGUUCGUUUGUUUCUACGUAAAGACUGGUUAUAGGAGACGUACGGUAUGCACCACAUGAAAUACGCAAGCCUGAGUUAUGUACUGGGUCUAAUUUUUUAAGGUAUGUCGGUCUUGCUGAGCCAUACACUAUGCAGCCAUAAUCUAAGGAGGAACGCACUAAGUAACGAUAAAUGUGUAGAAGACAUGUUCUGUCAGAACCCCAAUGUUUAUGAGACAGUACUUUGAGUAUAUUUAGUGACUGGGAAGCUUUCUUUUUCAGGGUGGUUAUGUGUGGUAGGAAUGUGAGCUUUUUGUCAAAAAUUAUGCCUAAAAAUUUGUGUUCAUUCUUUACUGGAAGUACGGUUUCAUUUAGGUGCAGGGUGGGGUCAACCUGUAGGCCUCUUUUGAGUGAAAAGAGGACAGCAACUGUUUUUUGGGGUGAAAAUUUAAACCCGUUUUUUUCUGCCCAAAUCGCGAGUUUGUUCAGUGUGAGUUGUAUCUGUCUCUCGCAUGUUGGUAAGCUGGAGGAUGUGCAUGCUAUUUGAAGGUCAUCAACAUAUACAGAAUACAUAAUGGACCUAGGAAUUAUUUUUGCUAUGGAGUUCAUUUUUACUAUGAAAAGUGUCGUACUUAAAAUACAGCCCUGCGGCACUCCAUUCUCCUGGACGAAUUUCUUCGACAGAGUUGCACCAAGGCGUACAUGAAAUGAACGGUCGGAGAUGAAAUCUUUCAAGCAGUUCAGCAUCCUACCGCGAAUACCAAGUUCUGCUAGGUCGCGAAGAAUACCGAACCUCCAGGCGGUAUCGUAAGCCUUAUCGAUAUCGAAAAAGACUGCUAAACAGUGUUGCUUGUGUACGAAUGCUUCUCGCACUGUAUUUUCUAGGCGGACGAGAUGAUCAGUCGUUGAACACAUUUUUUUAAAUCCGCACUGGUGGAUGUCAAGGAGUUCACGUGACUGAAGAGUGAACGUCAGCCUAACGUUCAGGAUACUUUCGAAUGAUUUUGCCAGGCAACUUGUGAGGGCUAUAGGCCUAUAACUACUAGGUGUGGUUGGUGGUUUUGCAGGUUUCAGGAACGGUACAAUCACGGCUUUUUUCCAAGCCUCCGGAAUUUUACCCGAUACCCAUAUUUUAUUGAAGAAUUGCAGAAGUGCGUUUACAGCAGCGUCUGAGAGGUGAGCGAGCAUUUCAUAAUGUAUUUCAUCAGGGCCGGGUGCCGUCUGUUUGCCUGCCGACAGUACUUUUUGGAUUUCGUGAAAUGUGAUUAAUGCAUUAUAGGGCUCAUUUGUAGAGCCAGUUGUAGGAAGUUUUUGUUUUUCGGUUGUAUGUUUGUGCUUCAGGAAUGAUGGAGUGUAGUGUGAGGAACUUGAAACAUGAGAAAAAUGUUCCCCUAGUACGUCUGCCUGUUCCCCUAUACUUGUUUGUGUGCCGGGAGCUGUUAAUAACGGAAUUGUGAAAGGGGAGAAGCUGCCAUUUAAUUUAUGGACUUGUUCCCACAUUUUUUUGGAUGUGGUUGAGCUGUUAAUAGAUGAUAUGUAGUUCUUCCAGGAAGUUUUCUCAGCGUCUCGACGGAUGCGGCGUGCGUUGGCUUUCGCUUUUUUAAAAUUUACAAGAUUAUCAUGGGUUGGGUAUCUACGGAAUAUGCCCCACGCUUUGUUUUGUUUCUUUUUUGCUUCCUUACAUUCUUGCGUGUACCAGAUUUUAUGAUUACGUCGAACCACUCCUGAGGACUGAGGAAUAGCUAGCCGCGCGGCAUUAAUAAUACAGGUUGUGAAUAAUUCGUUUUGAUCGUCGACAUUUAAAUUCUUUGAAAAAACUUUUUCCAGGCUGGCCUGUUCUUGAAACAGUGCCCAGUUUGCUAAGUGUAGCUUCCAACGACGUGGUUUGCUUGGGAUGAUUUGUGGUGGGGAUGAUAAGUUAAUUUUUACAGGAAGGUGAUCACUUCCAUAGGGGUUGUCAACGACAUCCCAUUUAAAAUCUGUAAAAAGUGAUGGAGAGCACAGUGACAGAUCUAGGCAACUCAUAGCUCCUGUGCUUGGGCAACAGUAAGUUGCCGCACCAGAGUUUAAUAGGCAUAUGUCGUUGGUUAGAAUAAAAUCUUCAAGUGUUUGGCCCCUGGUGUCAGUAGUUUUACUACCCCAUAACGUGCUAUGUGAAUUAAAAUCACCACCUAUUAAAAAUGGUUCAGGUAGCUGCUCUAAAAUUAUCUCUAGGUCUCUUACGGUAAAAUGUGAAUGUGGCGGAAUGUACAUUGAACAAAUGGUGAUGGUUUUGUGAGCUAAAACGGUGACAGCAACGGCUUCUAUGUGAGUGUUAAUGGGAAUUUCUCUGGCUGGUAUACCAACUGGCAGAACAAUGGCUACACCACCUGACAGCCGGUUCGUCUGAGUACGGUCGCGCCGUACAACAGUGAAACCUUUCAAAAAGUUCUUGUGUUUUUCGCCUAGGUUGGUUUCCUGUAAGCACAGGGCCACAGGAGAGAAGUUUAUUAAAAGGUCUUUUAUGUCACCUAAGUUAUGAAUGAGACCUCUACAAUUCCAAUGGAUCAUGAAAGCCAUUAUGAAAUUGAAAGGCAAAAAUUGAUAUUAACGAGUGAAUGGGAGAUAAGAAAGAUGUUAGGUGACAUGGAUCUGAAGAAGGCAGAUACAAACAGAGCGAUAACCCUUAGGUUAUCGCCUUCUUAUUUUGAGUUGUUAUUGGGAUUUUAUCCCUCUUACCGCGCUCGAGGGAGCGCUUGUCCUUCGGUGUCGAGGACACCGGGGUUUUUGUUUCGACCUCCAUUGCUCUCUCUGAGGCGCUGGAGGACCGAGAGUUUGGCGCCGAGACACGUGUCUCGGGCCUUGGAGUUCGCUUGAUCUUAGGACCCUGCGGGACUGGUGUCUGCAGGGCCGUUGAAGAGGGCGGAGCAGUACUGACUGCUUCCACCACGGGGGCGGGAGGAGUCACUGCGGCACCACUGCGCGUGGGCUCGGAGGACUCCGGAAGCCUCUGUGACGCUGCCCCCGCCUGCGUCACAUCGGCAUAACUGCGUCGCGGAAGCAUGGGCAAGACCGCGAGUAGGCUGGAUGGUCUCCUUUGCAGUUAGUACAAUGUGGGGAAGAAGUGCAGUUUUCAGAUUGAUGAUCAGUUGAGCUGCAUUUAGCACAGGUUGUUUGGCCUCGGCAUGCAUGUGAAGCAUGUCCGAACCUUUGACACUUGAAACACCGUCUUGGGUUCGGGAUAUAUGGUCUGACGUUUACUUUCACGUACCCUGCAUCCAGAGAGGUAGGCAUUACGCUUGUACCAAAUGUAAGUAUGACAUGUUUGGUGGGGAUUUCUUGGUCGUUUCUACGGAUUACUAUUCUUUGCACCUUUGUCACAUUUUGUUCCUGGAAACCUUCCAGCAGUUCCUCGUCACUUAAGCCAAUAAAGUCUUCUUCAGAUAUUA